AUCUCCAACUGGACCUGUGUCUGAGGGGUUAGUAUCUUUUCUGUAAAACAAAUAUUCACGUUUUUGUGCUAUGAUAUUUCAUACAUUAAAUUACACCUUGCAUAUCCACACUUGGUUCAGAACUAACAUCACGCCACCAAACACUUCUGACAUUAUCUUUACAGGGAAGAUUUUCUAAUGGCUGGUGUUGAGGUGCUGAUGACCUAGAUUUGGAUCCUUUUGAAGAAAGUUUCAAAUCCAUGGAUCUAGCUACGGAUGCAGUCCAGAUUGAUGAGGACCAAGCAAACAACUUACUCAACAGUGUGCUGGGAUCCUAAAGGGAAUUUCCAUCCUACUUGUGUGGCUGAAGGACAUCUUCAGCCAGUUUUGGUACAUUUGCCAGAAAGCACAACAUUGUGAUAUGUUUAAUGACAUGUGGGUGGGUGUGCUUCACCAUGUCACAGGGAAGCAUGAAUGGACCCGUGGCAAAUGUGACCAUGGACCACUUGAUGCAACGACCAGUGAUAAAGAGCUCAUGGUGCCAUGAUCUCCACCACACGAGGCUCUUCAACGAAUCAUGUUCAACAGACGCUGGUUGAAGGAUGUCACCAAUCUGACCUUUAGGUAUAUUAAUAACAUUUUCAUAAGCAAAAAAGCUAAAGUGUCAAUAUCAAAGCUGACAAUUUACAUAUAGAAAUGACAAUUGUGGGUGAAAAGGCAAUCAAAAGUGUGAUUCCUAAUAAUCUAUAAAGUUGUAGCUUUUGUUUUUUUUACAGGUCAACUUCAGAACUGGAGAGUUUCCAGAACUGCAUUCUCAUGUAAUCUAUGUAUGAUCUAAUGCUGCUGUUCUCUCUCCAUAAAGGCCCCAGCUACGUGAAGCAUCAAAAGACAGGAAUGACUUCUUUCAUGCACACAGAUUUAUUAGAAA